AUUGAACGCUAGCGGGAUGCUUUACACAUGCAAGUCGAACGGAGUCGGGGACGUGUUAGUACUAUAUCUGAACGUUCCCAGUAGAUGGGGAUAACUACUCGAAAGUGAUACUACAUCCGCACACUCUGGGCGCGGCCGGUAUCGGUUGAGCUUGUUGGUGGGGGAAAGGCUCACCAAGGCCACGAUCCGUAGCUGGUUUGAGAGGACGACCAGCCACACUGGGACUGAGACACGGCCCAGACUCCUACGGGAGGCAGCAGUGGGGAAUUUUGGACAAUGGGGGAAACCCUGAUCCAGCCAUCCCGCGUGUAGGAUGAAGGCCUUCGGGUUGUAAAGUACUUUUGGCAGAGAAGCGGUAUCUGCAGAAUAAGCACCGGCUAACUACGUGCCAGCAGCCGCGGUAAUAC
rnacentral:rRNA from 1 species